AGAAUCAACGCUGGCGGCGUGCCUAACACAUGCAAGUCGAACGAGAAAGUGGGGGCAAUCCCACGAGUAAAGUGGCGCACGGGUGAGUAACACGUGACUAACCUACCCUUGAGUGGGGGAUAACCUAGGGAAACCUGGGCUAAUACCGCAUAAUACCUACGGGUCAAAGGAGCAAUUCGCUUUAGGAGGGGGUCGCGGCAGAUUAGUUAGUUGGCGGGGUAAUGGCCCACCAAGACAGUGAUCUGUAU
rnacentral:rRNA from 1 species